AAUUUCUAUCAAAAAUAUUUUUGAAAUAUGAAAAUUAUAAUCCUAAAACCCAUCCUUAAUCCCUCCGAACAACAAGAUCAACACAAACCAAACUGAAUUGUAAUAAAACUUCACCGUAAACAACACGACCUUUUUCCGUUUUCUUAUGAGACGGAAACGAUUCUUCCCACCCAAACAACAGAAAAUCGGAGCUUAUAAUGGACUUUUCCUCUCCUCCCUGCCGCUCGCCGCUCUCACUCUCCCGCACCCGCAACCGCAACCGUAGAUGGCGUCAGAGUCGGACUGGCACCGCCGUCGUUGUGGUGGCUGCACUCGUGAUUUCCACCACAGCCUGGCUGUCUCUUGUAUUUUCUGGCACUACUGCUCGGUGUUGGCAUAGGUUUAAGAAUUGGGAAGGGAGUCCUCAUACUCUCACAUGGAAGCCACGAAGUCAGAAGCCAAAUCAAAACGGGAAAGUUGACGGAAUUUCGAGUUUCUCCACCGCCCCGUCUCUUCAAUUGGGCAGAAACAGGAGCCUGUCCGAGGCGGAGAGACGGAAGGUUGAAGCAGGAUUGACGUUGAAUCAUAUAGUUUUCGGCAUUGCAGGAUCCUCUCAGUUGUGGAAGAGAAGGAGAGAGUUUAUAAGGCUUUGGUGGAGAAAGAAUUCAAUGAGGGGUCAUGUUUGGUUAGAGGAGAAAGUGGAUGAUAAAGAAUGGGAUGAAUCAUUGCCUGUGAUUAUGAUUUCGGAGGAUACUUCUCGGUUUCGGUACACGAACCCGACCGGACAUCCUUCUGGGCUUCGGAUUGGGCGCAUUGUGUUGGAGACUUUUCGACUAGGUUUGUCUGAUGUAAGGUGGUUUGUUUUAGGCGAUGAUGAUACUAUUUUUAAUCUGGAUAAUUUGGUUAAUGUGUUAAGUAAGUACGAUUAUAAUGAAAUGGUUUAUGUUGGUGGCUCUUCGGAGAGUCACUCUGCGAAUACUUAUUUUAGUCAUAAUAUGGCUUAUGGAGGUGGGGGGAUUGCUAUAAGUUAUCCUCUUGCCGAGGCGCUUUAUAGUGUUCUUGAUGAUUGUCUUGAGAGAUAUCAUAAGUUAUAUGGAAGUGAUGAUAGGCUCCACGCUUGUAUUUCGGAGCUCGGUGUUCCAUUGUCAAGAGAGCUUGGGUUUCACCAGUGGGAUAUUAGGGGUAGUGCUCAUGGUCUGCUAUCUGCGCAUCCGGUUGCACCCUUUGUAUCGAUUCAUCAUGUUGAAGCUGUGGAUCCUUUUUACCCUGGGUUGAGUUCUCUGGAUAGUUUGAAACUAUUCACAAAGGCCAUGAAGGUUGACCCUAUGAGUUUCUUGCAGCGAUCGAUCUGUUAUGACCGUGCACGCCGCCUAUCCUUUUCCGUCUCGCUUGGUUAUACUAUUCAAGUGUUCCCGGGCAUUGUUCCUCCCCGGGUGCUUGAGCGCUCAGAAAUGACUUACUCUGCUUGGAACAAGAUUCAUAGUCGGAAUGAGUUUGAUUUGGAUACCAGGGAUCCUUCCAAAUCUGUUUGUAAGAGGCCGGUCCUCUUCUUCUUAGAAGACGUGGAAAGACAAGGCAACACUACUUUGGGUACAUAUGUGCAGGCAAGAAUGAAAGACGAUUUGAAAAGAAGUUUUUUCUGCUUUACUCGUUCUGCUCCUUUGCCUUACGUGGAGAGCAUUCAGGUGUUGGGGUAUCCUCUGAAGAAGAACUGGCAUUUGUCACCACGUCGCCUGUGUUGCAAACUGAAUCAAACAAGUGAUGAACUCCUUACAAUAUCAGUUGGACAGUGUGAGAAAGGAUCUUGUGGUUCUUUUGCUGAUUCUGUGUGAAUAUGGGUUGAAUGGGAGCACUUGGUAUACUCGCUAGUAAUGCUGUGGAUAUAUUUUCUGCUUGAAGAAGGCCCUUCUCCAACUUGUGCUUUAUAUUGUUCAGCAUCAUUGUUUUGGCUUCCUUCUUGCAACAGCAGUUUACUGACUGUAAUCUGGCAUUUUGAAAGCCAUGCUAACAAAUUGCAGAUAUGAUAGUUCCUUUUUGUACACAGUUGAGUUUAAGAUGAGAUUGCAAACCUUCACUUCGUGGACUGCAUUCUUUGCCUUCCUUUUUCUUCAGAAGGGAACUCAGCAGUAUAGAUUUGAGAUUUCUAUUCGGAGAUCCCAUAAGGACGAAUGUAGCCCGAGGUCGGUCAGGUUGAUUACCUAGGGAUAUGGAGUGUUGGAUGAAAGGUAUGGUGGUAGUUACAUCCUUGAGAAGCGUUUAUACUUGUCAGAACAGAUCAGUUGGAAUUUAACCUGAACACAUGCUACUGAGUUUAUUGAUAGACACCGGAAAAAAGAAGAGGUGGGCAGGGUCAUGUGGCGGAGGACAAGUUUGGAUUUCAAAGUGGGAAAGCGGCCAAUCGCACGGUUGGUUACUUUAACAAGGAAGCCUUAGGAUUGUUGUUUUUACUAUGUGUGGGUGAGGGCUAAACCCUAACCUCAAAACAUUGAAUUAGGAUUCUGCUCAUACCAUAAUAAUGUUCAUUCGUGGUGCAUUUUGGACUCCAAAUGCAUGGAAUAUGUGCUGUGUUUUGCAAGGUUAUGGUGAUGACAAUAGCAAGCUCCAUCUCAUGUCAAAUCUGUUUGCAGUA